CACCGUCUUUCGAUGUGAGGUCUUGUCUUCUUCUAUCGACAAUUGGCUUCCAUCUUUCUUUAGAAAAGACAGAGCCUUCAUCUUCUUCCUCCAUCACUGUCGCCGUCACCGAUCUUUCCGUCUUCGCUCAUUGCCGUCGCCAUCGUCAGUCUUCCCAUCCUCACUCGUCACUGUCAUCAUCGUCGAUCCAGGCAUUGCUUGUUCCCUAAUUUAAUCUUUCUCAGAUUGCUUGUUGUUGAUCAUUUUCC
rnacentral:lncRNA from 1 species